GACGAACGCUGGCGGCGUGCCUAAUACAUGCAAGUAGAACGCUGAAGGAGGAGCUUGCUUCUCUGGAUGAGUUGCGAACGGGUGAGUAACGCGUAGGUAACCUGCCUGGUAGCGGGGGAUAACUAUUGGAAACGAUAGCUAAUACCGCAUAAUAGUAGAUGUUGCAUGACAUUUGCUUAAAAGGUGCAAUUGCAUCACUACCAGAUGGACCUGCGUUGUAUUAGCUAGUUGGUGGGGUAACGGCUCACCAAGGCGACGAUACAUAGCCGACCUGAGAGGGUGAUCGGCCACACUGGGACUGAGACCCGGCCCAGACUCCUACGGGAGGCAGCAGUAGGGAAUCUUCGGCAAUGGACGGAAGUCUGACCGAGCAACGCCGCGGGAGUGAAGAAGGGUUUCGGAUCGUAAAGCUCUGUUGUAAGAGAAGAACGAGUGUGAGAGUGGAAAGUUCACACUGUGACGGUAUCUUACCAGAAAGGGACGGCUAACUACGUG
rnacentral:rRNA from 1 species